GUCCCGGCCCGAGCCUCCGGCCGCCCGCCGGGUUUGUCCCGCGAUCCCCGACCAUGCCCGCCGACCUCAGCGGUACUUGGACCCUGCUCAGCAGCGACAACUUCGAGGGCUACAUGCUGGCCCUAGAUGGAGUUUUGCUCUUGUUGCCCAGGCUGGAGUGCAAUGGCGGGAUCUCGGCUCACCGCAACUUCCGUCUCCCCGGUUCAAACAAUUCUCCUGCUUCAGCCUCCUGAGUAGCUGGGAUUGCAGGCAUGCCCCACCACGCCCAGCUAAUUUUGUAUUUUUAGUAGAGACGGGGUUUCUCCAUAUUGGUCAGGCUGGUCUCCAACUCCCGACCUCAGGUAUUGACUUUGCCACUCGUAAAAUAGCCAAGUUGCUGAAGCCACAGAAAGUGAUUGAGCAGAAUGGGGAUUCUUUUACCAUCCACACGAACAGCAGCCUAAGGAACUACUUUGUGAAAUUUAAAGUUGGAGAAGAAUUUGAUGAAGAUAACAGAGGCCUGGACAACAGAAAAUGCAAGAGUUUGGUUAUCUGGGACAAUGACAGGCUCACCUGUAUCCAGAAGGGAGAAAAGAAGAACAGAGGCUGGACCCAUUGGAUCGAAGGAGACAAACUCCACCUGGAAAUGUUCUGUGAAGGUCAAGUGUGCAAACAGACAUUCCAGAGAGCCUGAUCCACAUCCAGCAGCAGAGCCCACUUGUGGCUGCAGCUUUAUGCCAAAUUAUAUUGCAGACUGAACAGACGUUUAUCUAUCCCAUUUGGCGACGAGGACUCGUGGCUGGAGAGAGCCACACAGCGUGUAACCUGAAGUCAUCUAGAUUAUGGGGAAACUGCUCAGCUUCAAUAAACCUGUCCAAAUGA
rnacentral:lncRNA from 10 species